rnacentral:siRNA from 1 species
UUGAUUUGUGCUACCCUUUGAG